UACGGAGGUAGCUAGCGUUGUUCGGAAUUACUGGGCGUAAAGAGUACGUAGGCGGUUAUUUAAGUCAGAGGUGAAAGCCCGGAGCUCAACUCCAGAACUGCCUUUGAAACUAGAUAGCUAGAAUCAUGGAGAGGUUAGUGGAAUUCCGAGUGUAGAGGUGAAAUUCGUAGAUAUUCGGAAGAACACCAGUGGCGAAGGCGACUAACUGGACAUGUAUUGACGCUGAGGUACGAAAGCGUGGGGAGCAAACAGG
rnacentral:rRNA from 1 species